rnacentral:rRNA from 1 species
UACGAAGGGUGCAAGCGUUACUCGGAAUUACUGGGCGUAAAGCGUGCGUAGGUGGUUUGUUAAGUCUGAUGUGAAAGCCCUGGGCUCAACCUGGGAAUUGCAUUGGAUACUGGCAGGCUAGAGUGCGGUAGAGGGUAGUGGAAUUCCCGGUGUAGCAGUGAAAUGCGUAGAGAUCGGGAGGAACAUCUGUGGCGAAGGCGACUACCUGGACCAGCACUGACACUGAGGCACGAAAGCGUGGGGAGCAAACAGGAUUAGAAACCCGGUGUA